rnacentral:lncRNA from 1 species
CAACAUCACCCGACUACCACAUUUUGCAGUCACUGGCAGAGAGCACCCCUGGAAACACAGGCUGUUUCUCCUUUGACUACAGCAGCCCACUCUGUUCUCUGUAACCCUGAAAACUAACACAGGUGUGUGAUCCUAUGCAGUUCUCAUGGGUGAGUCUCCACACCUAAGAGGCCUCUGGGGACAUAAAAAGCAAAUUCCCUGUGACCUGGGAGUCUGUUAUUUCCUGUUCUAGAGGCCACACAGGUGCACCUUCAGGACAGCAGAGGUCAGUAACACCAAGAUUUUAGGACAUGAGAGGUCAGUAACACCAAGAUGAAGGACAAAGCAAUCUAGAGACUAAGUGACACAAAGGCCACACAUCAGUGCCAAUCUUUGCUGCCACUAAUAUACUUGAGGAGAAUAUUUCUGGAUUGGCCAUGUUCCCGCAGGUGUGGAGCCGAGAGUAGAUACACCAUUUCUACCUCUUCUGCCUUUCACAGGCAUUCAUGCCGGUGCCACAGCGUGCAUGUGGAGAGCACAGGAUAAACUCAGCUAAUGGUCUUUGCCUUCUGCCUUGUUGGAGGGAGAGUCCCUGGCUUGAGUCACAGUUUAGCUGGCCUGUGAGCAUCUACCUGUCUCUGCCUGCCUUCUCACCAUGAGUGCUUUGUUACUAAUGAAGGCAACUACAGUAUCAGGAUUGUACAUGCUUCCAUGGUUCUGAACUCCACUCAAGAUUGCGUGUUCCUAGACCUACAGCACCCGAUGGCUUCCAUGACGCUCCUGCCUUCUUUCACACCAGAGCCCACACACUUGCCAUCCAACCUCUCACUAUAGGUAAAAAACUGGGAACCAAUGUGCUCGAUCCAGUAUUGGCCAUGGACAAAACAUGAGGACUGCAUGCUUUGAGGUGGAAUUCUAUCAAAUUUCUCCCUGUAUAUGGACUUGCCGUGAUUGCUAUUAUGACAUGUGAUGCUGUCGUCCUGGGAUAAUUCUAUGAAAGGAGAAACCCUAAUAGUCAAACCUUUCUCUCCGCUGCUCAGAGCAUAAGAGUUUUCUGCUGCCUCUGGAACUUUUCUACAAAUUCCUCAAAAGGGACAGUGCUCAAGAC